CGCCCCGCGCAGGUAGAUCGGAAAGAUGGCGGCCGGGGUAACACGCUGAGUUUGAGCUCCGUAACUUUCUCGUGUUUUUAAUGUGUUUUUCUCGGGUGGGAGAGGGCGCGGAGAGAGCAUGCAGGCGGGCCUGGUCUCCGCGCUGUUCCUGGUGUCUGGUCUUUGAGAUUGAAUCGACGGCUUGGUAAAAUCCCGGAUUCCCUGUUUGUUCUGGUGUCCAGUCCUGGUGUGACACACACAGGAGGAGAUGCAGUCUGGAAGAAACGCGCUGGACACGUUUCAAACGGGUGAAUCAACAGCAGCAUUGUUAAAGUCUUUAUAACAGACUGUCCGUUCAGCGAGGAUUCAUUAGUGAAGUUACAAGCCCCUCUGCACAGAGGCUGUGUAAACUAGCGUUGCUGUGGAUUCUGUGUGUGCGUCUUUCAGUGCAAGAUGCGCCCUCAUCACCGCUGCCCGUCCUUGUGCGCACCGACCCGGGAUCCGUCUGCAAGCCCCUGUCACGGAUAGACUCGUGCGGUUCUGCAGCGUCGCUCCCGCCUCUGGACUCUCGGAUCAAGCAGAUGGAUUGACGGGCUGGUUUUGUUUUUUGGCGAGUUCUUGUUCGUCUCACCGCCCCGUGGAGGAUUGUGUGUUUCGCUUUUCUAAUAAAGAUUGCAUUGCGUAUUUGUAGUCUUC